AGUGAACGCUGGCGGUAGGCCUAACACAUGCAAGUCGAACGGCAGCACAGUAAGAGCUUGCUCUUACGGGUGGCGAGUGGCGGACGGGUGAGGAAUACAACGGACUCUACUUUUUCGUGGGGGUUAACGUAGGGAAACUUACGCUAAUACCGCAUACGACCUACGGGUGAAAGCAGGGGAUCUUUGGACCUUGCGCGAUUGAAUGAGCCGAUGUCGGAUUAGCUAGUUGGCGGGGUAAAGGCCCACCAAGGCGGCGAUCCGUAGCUGGUCUGAGAGGAUGAUCAGCCACACGGGAACUGAGACACGGACCAGACGCCUGCGGGAGGCAGCAGUGGGGAAUAUUGGACAAUGGGCGCAAGCCUGAUCCAGCCAUACCGCGUGGGUGAAGAAGGCCUUCGGGUUGUAAAGCCCUUUUGUUGGGAAAGAAAAGCAGCAGGUUAAUACCCCGCUGUUCUGACGGUACCCAAAGAAUAAGCACCGGCUAACUUCGUG
rnacentral:rRNA from 1 species